UUUUACAAAGCCACUUAUUUAUUCAACUGGAAUAUAAGGUAUUAAAUUAAACCACCCAUCCCUUGGGUCCACUACAGGCAAACAAAGACAGCAAGACAUUUGAACACUAAUCUGCAUCUCGCGCAGGCUAUUUAGUGAAGAGGACCAAGCUUUAAAUGUGAACUUUUUAAAUGGAGUUUGGUUUGAAGGUUCAUUCUAGCACUGCAACUAGUGGUUACUUUCACUGAUUCUUUUUCAAAUCAAUGAUCCAUUUAGGCCCUAAAAUAUCAGGAAAUGCUUUAAAAACAUAAAGAGACCAUUGUGUUGUAAAAUAAAUUUAAUUCCAUCUUCAGAGCCUCUUUUAGACACCUCACAAGCCUCCAGUCAGUUGUAAAGACCAAGCAUGUCAGAAUCAGUUGUAAAAGUAAACUUGAUAUCCUGGAGCGUUUAUUUCUUUGUGAAUAAACGGUACUUCAGAUACGGGUUUCUUUGGGCGAGGUCAUCUCUGAGCUGCAGAGAACGAGGUCAGCAGAGUCGACUCGUAUCAGAAGAUGGCAAGGCUUUUCUCCUUCCCCUCCUCCUCUGGUUCGACGACGGCCGAGCUCUAAGAAACUCAGAACGAACUUCAAAACUAAAAAUGAUGAUGUCACGGUUUUGCAGUUUUCAAAGCCAGACAAGGAUCCAUCUGGUUUUGUGACUCAGCUGAUGGUGUGACCGGGACAAACAGCCCAUUCUGACAUGUUUAGGGAUAAUUGUGAGGAUACACAUGAUAGACUUUGCCUCGUAGAGCAAUAUAAAAGCCAGUUAAAGUAAAAAUCCUGAGUUGAGUUGAACUGCAGGCUGUGUUUCCAGAGCAGGUUAGAGAAUAAAUGCAGCAUGAUUCAGAUACAGUAGAUAUGUAUGAAAGUGAUGUGCAGAGUAGAGCAAAAACUUUGUAGAGGUUGUCAAAAUGUAGUUUAAUAUUUGUAGUAUAAUUCAACAAAAACCCCUUCGAGACGAAGAUAAAGCAUGAAAUAACUAAAACGUGGAGAUUCAAAGAUGCAAAACAAGAUGGAAAAUGACAGUACAAACUGUAAAUGGUUGGAUAACUUUUUUUUUUUGCUAACACGUGUGGACACUUUAAAAAUGUUGGUGAUUCCUGUUUUUAUUAAUUUUUGGAUUGUCAUUCUGUCAUUUCUGAGCUCUCUGCUCUCCUGACCAUUGAGCUGCCAGCUCCAUUUAUUGAAGCCAUGAAGCAGAUUGUGUUCUAGUAUUUGGUUGUGUAUUUGUUUCCUACAUGCUGUCUGUGUGAAGAACUCGUGCAUCUACAGAUCAGGGGCCUCAUUUAUAAAGCUUGCGUACGCACAAAACAGGGCAAAGGUUGUGAUUUAUAACAACAAACUUGGUGUGAGACUGUGCGCCAACCUUGAUGCUUGCUUAAGCACAUUUUGGAGACAGAGGGAACGGCAGUGCCGGAGGGUGAAGUGGCGAAUUGAAACCAGAUUGAUCUCAAACCUUUAUUGUCAUCACAUGUUAGACUUGUAGAGCCGGAUAAUCAUAAACCCUCAUUGUUGUAGAUGUUCAUAUAGUGCGCCAUUCAGCCUACGACUGUAUUUGCAGAACUAUGUUCAUAUAUCAAACUUCCAUCUUCAAAUGAUAUAGAGCGAGUGGUACUGAUUACUAAUUUGGAAAAGGCAUGUGACAAUCAGUCCAAUUGCUGAUCCUGCGGAUAAAUAGCAGAUAACAGCCAUGCGUAAUGUGGCACAAUGGAUGCGCUGGCAUUGCUGGAAGAUCACGUUAAGAAUGGAGAGAUUUUAGGGAUCACGGGGAUUUCCUGGCCCAUGACGAUGACUGGCUAAUAAGCCGAUUCAGAUUCCUUAGAGCAAGUACUCUUGGAUCUAUGUGCUGAACUGGGCCGUCUUAGACAGACCCACCCGCCCAAACCACGCCAUCCCAGUACAGACACAGGAGCUGACGACUCGGGUUUCUGGCAACACCGGCUCCUUCCAGCGGGAAUUGGCCGACAGGUAUGUGUUUUAUAUGAAGAAUAUAUGAGGUUACAUUUGUUGUCUAAAUCCUAUCUGGGUCUGAUAUAUAGUUAAAGGAUGUCCUUUAGGUCUGGGAUAUCACAACCAUCCCUCAGUGCAAUAAUUCCAGCUGUUUUGGAUGACAUUAUAAACAUGACCAGUCAAUACAUCAGGUUUCCUUACACUGUGGGUGAACAGGCCAACAUUAAACGGCAAUUUGCAGCGAUGUCCGGUUUCCCAAAUGUUAUCGGCGUAACUGACUGCACUCAUGUUGCUGUAAGGGCUCCGAGUGAAAAUGAAUUUGUCUGUGUGAACCGAAAAAAAUGUACAUUCAAUCAGUGUACAAAUUAUUUGUACAUCGGACAUGAUCUUAACAAAUUUAGUGGCCUGGGUCAACACGAUUCAUUCAUCCUGACUCACAGCAGUGUAGGGAAAAGACUGCAGGCCGGCGCUGCAUAAAAUGCCGUGGAUCAGCAGCUUAUUUAUAUACAGAUACAUUCAUGAGUUACUUUGCAUUGACCAUUCAUGGUAAAAUGUGGGUGUGUUGUGGGCGGAAUGUGAGGUGGAUCCACCUGUGCAAUCUUCCAGCUGGUGUGUGAUUUAUCAAGAAAUUGCGUGCAGCUAUGCUUAUGCAGAGUUUUAUAAAUCAGGGGCGAAGGGCGUACGCCCAUUUUGGAUUUUCAGCAUACGCAAACUUUUAGUAUAGAUUCUACGCAAUGUUUAAUAAAUGAGGCCCCAGAUCCUCAGCUCCGCUGCUCCGCUGCAUGAACUUGGACUGUAGAGCUGAAUGAUUAAAUCACAUGAAUCUUGAACUGACAAUGGGACGAUUAAGGAGCUCUACAUCAAGCAGGACAGCUGCUCUGGAAUCUUACAGACUGUUGCAUCGUCUCUGGCAGUUGUUGGACAAAUGUGGACUUCCUGGCCAACGUCUGGAUCUCCUGUGGACCUAUUGCAUUGCGCUUUAAUGAAAUGGGAUUGUUCUUUAGCUGAGGAUGACGCCGAGUUUGGUGUCCUGAAAGUGGGACAAAGACAGUCCCACUUCAGAAGCUGGAUGAGGAGAGGAACCCUGUCUGGUUGGAGAGCUGGAGACGACGUGUCAUGGUUGGAGGACUUGAUCUGAGGCCUGCUGAUGGAUGAAGAUGGAUACUGCCACCCAGAAGAUGCUGAAGAGAAAGGCCUGAUGACGAUUCCUCUGUGACCCACUGAUGUCUACAGAAAGAAGACCUACCUGAUCUCACAGUGCAUCCCCUUGAUGGACUCCUGCAGCUCCUUCCUACCUCCCUGGAUGCACAGUCAAACCUCUGCACAUGAUCCAGAAUGUUCAUUUUGGAUCAAAGCUAAAUGAAAAUGUAGAAUCUCCAGAUCUGUGAUUACUCCAUGUCUCACAAAUAAAAUGAUUGUUAGUUCUAUAAGAUG